AUUGAACGCUGGCGGUAUGCUUAACACAUGCAAGUCGAACGAUGAGAAAGAGCUUGCUCUUUCGAUUAGUGGCGGACGGGUGCGUAACGCGUAGGAAUCUACCUAUUAGUGGGGGACAACUUAGGGAAACUUAAGCUAAUACCGCAUACGCCCUACGGGGGAAAGAAGGGGAUCGCAAGACCUUUUGCUAAUAGAUGAGCCUGCGUAGGAUUAGCUAGUUGGUGGGGUAAAAGCGCACCAACGCGACGAUCCUUAACUGGUUUGAGAGAAUGAUCAGUCACACUGGAACUGAGACACGGUCCAGACGCCGACGGGGGGCAGCAGUGGGGAAUAUUGGACAAUGGGCGAAAGCCUGAUCCAGCAAUACCGCGUGUGUGAAGAAGGCCUUAGGGUUGUAUAGCACUUUCAAUUGGAAGGAAAACCUCGAAGCUAAUACCUUCGAGUUUGACAUUACCUUUAGAAGAAGCACCGGCUAACUCCGUGCCAGCCGCCGCGGUAA
rnacentral:rRNA from 1 species